GGGAAAGUGGCUCAGUGGUAGAGCUCUUGCCUUGCAUGCAUGAGGCCCUGGGUUCGAUUCCUCAGCACCA
rfam:Dipodomys ordii contig_39408, whole genome shotgun sequence.